AUUAUACUCCCUCUGUCCGAAAAUACUUGUCAUCAAAAUGGACAAAAAGGGAUGUAUCUAAAACUAAAAUACAUCUAGAUACAUCCCUUUUAUCCAUUUUGAUGAUAAGUAUUUCCGGACGGAGGGAGUAUAUA
rnacentral:pre_miRNA from 1 species